ensembl:lncRNA
GUGUAGCAGAACUUGACACUGUCUUACCUUAGAGCUGGGUGAGCAGGACUGACUUCAUUUUGCUCGCUCCACGAGGAGGAGAGCGUCUCCUGUUUUUUAACCAGACAGCUUCAGAGCCCCCUCUGCUGGAGUGCUGACAGCAGGAGGACAGACGUAGCUCGGCCAGCAGUGCAGGACAGCUCUCUGGCUGUGGAGAUGUACUUAAGGAAGUUUUGGCAUGAGACAGCGCUCAGCCUGGAGACUGCUAAGCUCCCCAGGAAGGAUGCGUGUGCCUAAACAAGAAGGGAAACAGGAAGGAAGAAGAAAUAGUCCAUCUGAUAGCAGCAAGGAGAGGAGGCUCUUUGGGUCAGACAGGUAUGCUUCAGAAAAUGGAAGUGCUACCAGAAUAGAAAAUAUGAUGGCACGGCAAUUAAGAGCCUGGGAAAAGAUGCCAGGAGCUGAAUCCCAAAGGGCUGCUCCAGUCUUCCUGUGCAGCUUCCAACAAGCCAC